UUCCGGUUGAUCCCGCCGGACCUGGCUGCUAUCGGAUUGAUACUAAGCCAUGCAAGUCUUUGUAGUAAUACAAGGCAUACGGCUCAGUAACGCGUAGUCAACCUACCCUAUGGAUGGGAAUAAUCUCGGGAAACUGAGCAUAAUACCCAACAGAUCAUCAAUUCUGGAAUGGUUGAUGAUUCAAAUGAUUUUUCGCCAUAGGAUGGGACUGCGGCCUAUCAGCUUGUUGGUGAGGUAAUGGCCCACCAAGGCGAUUACAGGUACGGGCUCUGAGAGGAGAAGCCCGGAGAUGGGUACUGAGACAAGGACCCAGGCCCUAUGGGGCGCAGCAGGCGAGAAAACUUUGCAAUGUGCGAAAGCACGACAAGGUUAAUCCGAGUGAUUUCUGCUAAAGGAAUCUUUUACCAGUUCUAAAAAUACUGGCGAAUAAGGGGUGGGCAAGUUCUGGUGUCAGCCGCCGCGGUAAAACCAGCACCUCAAGUGGUCAGGAGGAUUAUUGGGCCUAAAGCAUCCGUAGCCGGCUCUGUAAGUUUUCGGUUAAAUCUAUACGCUCAACGUAUAGGCUGCCGAAAAUACUGCACAGCUAGGGAAUGGGAGAGGUAGACGGUACUCGGUAGGAAGGGGUAAAAUCCUUUGAUCUAUCGAUGACCACCUGAGGCG
rnacentral:rRNA from 1 species